rnacentral:lncRNA from 1 species
CGCCCAACGGUGCCGUGCACCGCUCUCUUUCUGCCGCCGUGCCGCGUUGCGUGGGCGGUGGCCGCCUGGCCGGUGGGCGGCGGCAGGCGCGUGCGCCGUGCCGGGGUUGCCAUGGCCCGGGGUUUUUUUUUUUCCGUUUUGGCGAGGCUUUAUCUAUUUUGAUCGAGUUGGGAUCAGGGAAAAACUGUACGGUGCAUCUGACGUCUAAAAAAAGAUAGUUAAAAAGCUGAAACGGCUGAUUUGUUGUGAGAGGAAACACUAUUUGAUGGCUGAUAAGCCGGCUGAAUAAGCUGAAACGAACGGGACGAAUCUUUUCACCCGCGCAGUGCAACGAGGGUCACGACCAUACAUGUAAAGCGUGCUUCGCUGUCUGCAUGCACGAACCUGCGAUCGCGAUCGGUGCACCGCCGCGCCGACGCAACCUUGCGUCGCAUCAUGCGUCUGUUUACGGCUUUCUGACGAGAAAACUUUGUGAUUGCGUCAUGCUCAAAUUGCCGCAGUCCGGGUACCGUUGAGAUUCCGUUUUACCUUUUUCAGGGAAUGCUGGUUGCAAGCAAAGCGAUUAACCCCCACAUGAGAAUAGCGGCGGGGCACUAGAUUGAGGUCAUGGGCUGAUGGUGACACGAUAUCUUUAUAGAUCAAGUCAUCAUGAUGAACACAAACGCACCCCACGAAAACAAGAAAAAUAGUCCCAACUGAAAACGUAAUCUGAAGCCUGUACGGUCGAGUUCAGGGAUUACACCUUACAGAAAAUCGGUCCAUUUCUGCUGCAUCGUCUCUCUCGGCAAACCCUGUAUAUUCUC